UUGGUUCUACAAAAGUCUCUGGCUUCAGGCCUGGUAGUGUUAUAGCAGACUACACAAUAAAUGCAACAUCCAACAGCCUUGAUUUUGGAGCAGCAAACACACAGGUUUCUGACUCUCUAAAGGCACAAGGAAUAAUUUUAACUGAAGAUGCUUUUGCUCAAAGUGAUCAAACCAUUUUCACAACAGAUCAGUUAUAUCCUCUGCAAAAGGUGGACCUGAACUGUAUACAGCCAGACUUUGCAAAGGGACAAAUAAAAUGGACAGUGGAUAACAAAGAUCCUGCACUA